AAAAAAAAAAAAAAAAAAGCUUCUGUGUUUUAUGCGAGAGCUUGAAAUAAAUAUAGCUAGUCUUGACAAAAAAGGCGAAUGCUUGUGGAGUUGUGCCUUUCUUGAUCUAAGCAGUUCUUUUCUUUGAGCUCAAGAGAUCGAUGUCAGCAAAGACUAACAAAAUCUAUAAGUAAAGAAGCGAUUCCUCGAAUGUAUUAGAGCCUAAAGAUAAACUGCAUGUGUUUGAUGGCUUUAGAGACCAAGCGCAAGGUAGAAUCUUCUCUCUUCCAAGUUCCAAACUAUUAAUAUUCAAAGAUUCAAAAACAUACAGACGAUUAUAACUAAUACUUUAUUUGGAAGUGCCAUUUAAAGUCUUUUUUUUUGCUGGUUACGCGUUUCAAGGCAAGGCAAAGAAACGUAAAAUUUGACCUAGAACAAAACUUUUGAAACUGGAAGUAGCAAUUUGCAGGCAAGAAGAAACCAGCCGGCAGCCACAUGAUAUGUCACCUCCAGUAAAGGACAAAAUACAAAGGCCCAUUUGGGUGGACUUUG
rnacentral:misc_RNA from 1 species